rnacentral:rRNA from 1 species
CACUCCUACGGGGGGCAGCAGUGGGGGAUAUUGCACAAUGGGGGGAACCCUGAUGCAGCGACGCCGCGUGGGUGAAGAAGCGCCUCGGCGCGUAAAGCCCUGUCAGCAGGGAAGAAAAUGACGGUACCUGAAGAAGAAGCCCCGGCUAACUACGUGCCAGCAGCCGCGGUAAUACGUAGGGGGCAAGCGUUAUCCGGACUUACUGGGUGUAAAGGGGGCGCAGACGGCGAUGCAAGCCAGGAGUGAAAGCCCGGGGCCCAACCCCGGGACUGCGCUUGGAACUGCGGGGCUGGAGAGCGGGAGGG